rnacentral:rRNA from 1 species
UACGAAGGGUGCAAACGUUGCUCGGAAUCAUUGGGCGUAAAGCGCACGUAGGCGGCUUCGCAAGUCGGAUGUGAAAUCCCUCGGCUCAACCGAGGACGUGCACCCGAAACUGCGGAGCUUGAGUACUGAAGAGGAUCGCGGAAUUCCCGGUGUAGAGGUGAAAUUCGUAGAUAUCGGGAGGAACACCAGUGGCGAAGGCGGCGAUCUGGGCAGAUACUGACGCUGAGGUGCGAAAGCGUGGGAAGCAAACAGG